rnacentral:misc_RNA from 1 species
GUGGUAUAUGCUUUUGAUUAGAGAAAUCUGUCUUGUUCACUGUUGUCCCUCUCACUACCGUUAAUUUCUACUGCGGAUAUUCAUGCGAGGACCAUUGGAAGAUUGCUGGUCGUGUGAAGAUAGCGGGACUAUAGAAUGUUCAGAAUCAAGACAUGUUCUUUUGAUUUUGAUUGCUUUGGUCUUUGGCUUGUGUGUCGUAAAACGCAACACCAGCUGCUCGGACACGGAACCUACUCAUUUUAAUUGGUGCACAAUAAGGACUUCACAAUAAGGACCUUGAAGUCAGCAGCUUUAGAUAAGGAGUUGAAAUGCUAAGUAGGUGCAGCUGUAUGUGUCCUUCAUUCUGAUUUGUUAGGCUUAUUCAAUUCAUGUUGUUUUAGAUAGUUGUAAUACUU